CCCGCUGAACUUAAGCAUAUCAAUAAGCGGAGGAAAAGAAACCAACAGGGAUUGCCUCAGUAACGGCGAGUGAAGCGGCAUCAGCUCAGAUUUGAAAGGCGGCAACAGCCCCCAUUGUAAUCUGCAGAGGAACGUUUGGCUGCGGUACGGGUCCAAGUCUUCUGGAAUGUAGCGCCUUAGAGGGUGAGAGCCCCGUAUACGAUCCACGACCAAAGCCGUGCAAACGUCCUUCGACGAGUCGAGUUGUUUGGGAAUGCAGCUCAAAGCGGGUGGUAAAUUCCAUCUAAAGCUAAAUAUUGGCCAGAGACCGAUAGCGCACAAGUAGAGUGAUCGAAAGAUGAAAAGCACUUUGGAAAGAGAGUUAAAAAGUACGUGAAAUUGUUGAAAGGGAAGCGCUCGCGAUCAGAAUUGGCGGUAGUUGUUCCCCGCUUCGGCGGUUUACUCUUCUACCUUCAUGCCAGCAUCGGUUUCUGUGGCCGGACAAAGGUUUUGGGAACGUGGCCCUCUUCGGGGGGUGUUAUAGCCCAUUGCACAAUACGGCCUACGGGGACCGAGGAACGCGCAUCUUGCUAGGAUGCUGGCGUAAUGGUCGUUAGCGGCCCGUCUUGAAACACGG
rnacentral:rRNA from 1 species